UAAAAACUUGAAGAAAAUUUUUUUUUUUUUUUCUUAGAGUGACUUUCAGAGUGUUAUCUUAGUAGUCAAAUCUAAGUGUCUUUUUUUUUUUUUUACAUUCAGUGGUGGAGUCAGCUUCCUGCGAAACACAAAAGGAGCCGGUACCAGCUGAAUCUGCCGACACAACCACCUCGAGCAGCCAUGAGACAGGAGAUCCUGUAGUGCCGCCCACCACAGCGGUACCAGCUGAAUCUGCCGACACAACCACCUCGAGCAGCCAUGAGACAGGAGAUCCUGUAGUGCCGCCCACCACAGACAGCGCCAACCAAAACAAGGACAGCGACGCCCCCGCUGUAGAGCUGGAUCAUAGUCAGCCUGAAACUAAGGUUGAAGAGGAAACAGCAGUGGAUUCUUCAGAUCAACCGUCCUCAGGUGCUGUUCUUAUUACCAGCUUUGAGACUGUGGAAUUUCGAAAGAAAUGCCUUACUUCAGCUGACUUCUAACAACUAACCGACGUCCUCCCCUUUUCUUCACACACUUGAGUCUUUCUGGUCUCUCUGUCUCUCCCUCCCUGUUCACUACACUCAUGUCUCCUUUAUGUUCCCGUGUCCAUCUGUCUCAUGGCAUGAGAUGGCAUCUGCUAUUGAGCUUGUUUCUGUCGUCUUUGACAAAUGAGAAUGCAGCUCCUCGGGCUAUGACAGUCCUCCCCCUCCUCUGGGACUGACUGCUUCUGUCUGCAGCUUCACACUUGCUGUCAUUCUCCACUGUGAACCUUGCACACCUCCUCCAGCAUGACUAAAAUACCGCAUUUAUUGUGCUCCUGAAUCCCCUCAGUGUCUUUCAUGCACCUCUUUGAUUUCACACCUUUCCCUGAAUGACAUGUUUGCAUUUGGGUUAUGGCUUUUUCCCCUUUCAUGCAUGUCACAAACUGCUUGAGCAAAUAAGUGUUGUUUUGAUUUUUAUUCAAUUUUUGCAAAUGCAUAUAUAUGUGUGAGUGUGUGAACUGCAAACAGGAAUGAUCUAUAACAGGGAUAGGCAACUUCGGUCCUGGAGGGCCACUGUCCUGCAGAGUUUAGCUCCAACCCUAAUUAAACACACCUGAACAAGGCAAUCAGUGUUUUCUGGAUUACUAGAUAGAUACAGGCAGGUGAGUUUUUAUGAGGGCUGAAGCUAAACUCUGCAGGAUAGUGGCCCUCCAGGACCGGAGUUGCCUAUCCCUGAUCUAUAACAUCAUCCCAACAGAAUCCCAUUUGAUCGCCAUUUAGGAUCAUUAUCAUUGAAGGGAAAGCAGCUUGGCUUUUCUCCCAGAGCAGCUUACAGAGAUGAAUUACACAGGGUAAACCGAAUGUGAUUCCUGAGACUGUAUAGCAUCUUAUUAAAUUUCAUGUCAUUUUAAUGUUCAUGUAUGAGUGAAUGUUUAUCAACCCACAUAGAAUGAAUAUAUCAAGUUCACCAGAGUGCAAAUGAGGGUAAAUUUCUUAAUCCAUUGUCUUUUCAUAUAGACUAAAAAAAUAAGUCCUCUAAGAAGAUCAGGGUUCCUGCGGUUUUAGAAAACCUGGAAAUAUCAGGACAUUUUUAGAAUGAUGCUUACCAGGUCUAGAAAAUAUAAUCUUCUAGUUAUGCUCUGUUUAAAAUUAUUUAAUAAGCUAGACUUUUUACUCAUUUUAAAUAAAAAAUUGAUAUUUGAUGGGUGUAUGGUGACCCAGAAAGCCUUCAAACCGCAUUCAUAUCUCAUUUUAUAUGUUAAUUGCUAUCUGACAUAGACUUAAAUAUGCCACAGUAAUCUCAUUAAAAUGAUUUUUAAGACUCCUUAUCUAGUAAAAGCGAACAACUGGAAAUAUCAUGGAAAUUCAUUGUUUAAAAGAACACAGGAUUACACUCAUUUGCAAGAGCAAGGAGGAAAAACAAAACCAGCCCAAAGUUAAAGAAAAAUGAAAUUGGUGGCCUUUAUCCUCGUCAGUUUGUCUGAAAUUUGAAUCAUCUCCUUUUUAUUGCCCUUUUAAGGAGCGGUCACAUUCACCUUUCAGCGAUUUUCACAGGCAAGUCCAGUCAUUUCAGUAGGAAUCCAUGCAAUCUAGAAUUUAGUGUGAAGGUGAAAAGUUCCCCCACACAGAUUUCACAACGGGUUAAAGUUGAUCAAAGCAAAGCGGCUUGGUUUGAUUAAGAAAAUGGCUUUAGUGUGAGUGUUGCUUCAUACAUCUCUGCACUGUUGACAAUAGACAGUGGACCUUUAGUUUCUGAAAUUUUACCGAAAUUUCACUGAUGUGACUGCACCUUAGUUUGUACAAGCUACUUAUACAAGUGAUGAAUUUGUAGUUUAUACUGUUGAGAUUUGGCACAGUUGCUGGAAUGGAGAAUAAAUGUUGUGCUGCUUUUUACUUCUGAUUGUCUCCCUUUCCCUUUUGAAUUGAGGAACCACUCCUUAGUGUUUUGUGUUUCAUGAAUGUUUGAUGUCAUAUCCACUCAACUGCCAAAGGCUCAACCCUGUCACUCAAUCAUUUGGGAUCUCUGUCCUUCUUCACCUGCUCCUGCUUAUUGCCAUUACAUCAUACCAGUUUAUUAUGCAACUAACUGCUCAUUAGCAACUAAUGAGUGGAUGUGAGUUCUUGCCAGUUCCCAUUGUCCACAUGCACCCUGGAAAUCAACACAAACUAAUGGCUCAAUAACAAGAUUCUUGUAUUUCUUUCAUUUGAUUACUCUGCUACGUUUAGCCUGUUUAACAGGAGGAAACAUCCAGGAAAACAUUUUU
rnacentral:lncRNA from 1 species